rnacentral:tRNA from 1 species
GCAUGUGUUUCCUAGUGGACAUGGCGUCUGCCCGGUAAGCGGAACACUGUGGGUUCGAUUCCCAUCCCUGGACA